CCUACGGGAGGCAGCAGUGGGGAAUAUUGGGCAAUGGGCGCAAGCCUGACCCAGCAACGCCGCGUGAAGGAAGAAGGCUUUCGGGUUGUAAACUUCUUUUAUCAGGGACGAAGCAAGUGACGGUACCUGAUGACUAAGCCACGGCUAACUACGUGCCAGCAGCCGCGGUAAUACGGAGGUCGCAAGCGUUAUCCGGAUUUAAUGGGUGUAAAGGGCGUGUAGGCGGGAGUGCAAGGCAGCUGUGAAAACUAUGGGCUCAACCCAUAGCCUGCAUUUGAAACUGUACUUCGUGAGUGCAGGAGAGGCAAUCGGAAUACCGUGUGUAGCGGCGAAAUGCGUAGAUAUA
rnacentral:rRNA from 1 species